CUGCUGCCUUCCGUAGGAGUUUGGGCCGUGUCUCAGUCCCAAUGUGGCCGUUCACCCUCUCAGGCCGGCUACUGAUCGUUGCCUUGGUAGGCCACUACCCCACCAACUAGCUAAUCAGACGCGGAACCAUCGUAUACCACCAGAGUUUUUCACACCGCUUCAUGCGAAGCUGUGCGCUUAUGCGGUAUUAGCACCUAUUUCUAAGUGUUAUCCCCCAGUAUACGGCAGGUUUUCCACGCGUUACUCACCCGUCCGCCA
rnacentral:rRNA from 1 species